GGAAGUGUAAAUUUCCACAACGAAAAUAUGAAACAGCCUACUUCAUAGGUAAUAUAUGACUCAGAGAAAUAUACCAAAAUAAAUCAUUUUGGAAAACUGAUAUUAGAUAAAUAAUAGCCCAUGUGGGAAAAAAAUCCAAUAAUGGGCAAAUGGCCAUAUGAUUUUUAUCCUUUUUCUUCUCUUAAUUUAGUGGUUUAUUUGGAAUUCCUUAUUCCAGUUUGCUGUAUCAAGAACCUGGUGCUGCUGCUUCAUUCCCCACCAUGUGUAGGUGAUUAUGGAGGAGGAUGGCUGUCUGUCAAAAGCAGGUUAAGCACAUCAUUCAAAUCAUGAUUUUGGAGGUGGGUUAGAAGACUUUAAUAAAGCAAAAUGGAAAAUUUCUCA
rnacentral:lncRNA from 1 species